UCCUGCACUAGCUGACAGCUUAUUUCAACAACGUCGGGUUUUCAUCACCAACAACUGAUUGACUGAAAUGUUUCCCGUCUGUCUGAUCUUCCACUAUGAAAAUCACUUUGUUAAUGAGACAUUAGAAUAAGAUACAGGUUAACAAAUAGCCUUUUCUGUGUCGUACCGCUCACUACAGUCAGAAGUGAUCACAACCAAGUACGAAAACCAAACAGUUGUAGUACUACAAUACAACCUAUGCUAUAAGUCUAAACUCUAAAUUUCGUGCCUUCAGCAGUGUGAAAACAGUGAAAUUGUAUUCAUACUGUGCUGUUUUCCAGGAUCACUUGAAAGCAAUAUUGCAUUAAAAGAGAAGUAUGUUGAUGAGGCCAUACCGUUAACUUCCACAUAUUCUUCUUAAUCAUCAAGCAGCCUUAAUGGGAUAUGAGAGCAGGAGCACCUCUUGAAAUCAUACUUCCCAGAAGUUACCCUAGCCUGGUUAAGGAUCAAGAAAGGGACUGACGCCGAUUAUCACCUCCAGGUUUGGAGUUUUGAGCUUAUGCUGUUUGUAGUGAGUUGGUGGGUUCUUGGUGACGAAGGAAUGAUCAUGAUUUGAAGGAUAGAUGUGGAAUCCUGGAAGUGUUGCUGACCGACAACCAGCUCCGGUCAACAUUUGGUCUUGUGAUUGCAUUUGUGCCAUUACCAGCAUCAAUGCCACCUAUCACCACGCUACUGCAAUACUUCAUGACACUUUCUUUGGCAUCAGGAAAUUUAUCUCAACAUG
rnacentral:lncRNA from 1 species